AGAUAAAAAGUCUAGGAUUGAGUUUUUUUUAAAAAUACGCUUUUUCAAUGUUUUUAUAAAGUUUUUGUUUUUAAUAAGUUUUAAAGUUAUUAAUAUAUUUAUGUUAUUAUAUAUAUUAUUAAAAUUUAUGUAGAAGAUAUAAUUAGAAAAUAUGAUUUUUAGAAAAAAAUAAAUAAAAUUAUUACACUUUUUAGGAUAAAUUUAAAAUAAAGAAUCAUUUAUUUAAAAUAAUUUUUAUCUU
rnacentral:tRNA from 1 species